AUUAUUAAAGGCUGGGUAGGUGAUUUCGAAAAUCGCCGCAAAGUCCGACUCGCUUCCUUCAGACCUCCGUCCCAAGCCCCUCCCCCCUCAACACAUGAAAGCGCACCGCUGUCUGAGUCUGAGUCUGACUGCGUCGGAGGAGGAGGAAGACAUGAGUGGAGCACAACAGGCUAACUGUCUGCUCGUGGCUCAUUCACAAGCCAGAACUCGAGGACUGAGCUUGGAGCAGUGACGUGACACGAGCCUGCUGCUUCACUUACUACACUUCACAUCAGCAGAUGCUGCUCCACCGGGCCGUCCUGUUACAGGGCAACCUACUUGUGUCUGCCAAAACCACCCACAGACGUGAAAAGAAAGUGCUGUGGGCAACUUCAUGACUCCCGUGUCCAGGCUGCCACAUAUGGA